UACGGGAGGCAGCAGUGAGGAAUAUUGGACAAUGGAGGAAACUUUGAUCCAGCCAUGCCGCGUGAGUGAAGAAGGCUUUUGGGUUGUAAAGCUCUUUUACCCCUGACGAUAAUGACGGUAAGGGGAGAAAAAGCCACGGCUAAAUUCGUGCCAGCAGCCGCGGUAAUAAGAAGGUGGCCAGCGUUGUUCGGAUUUACUGGGGGUAAAGAGUGGGUUGGCGGUUUAACAAGUCAGGAGUGAAAUCCCGGGGCUCAACCCGGGAAUUGCUUUUGAAACUGUUUUACUUGAAUCCGGUAGAGGUUGGCGGAAUUCUCAGUGUAGAGGUGAAAUUCGCAGAUAUUGAGAGGAACACCAGUGGGGUAAGCGGCCAACUGGACCGGUAUUGACGGUGAGGCAAGAAAGUAGGGGUAGCAAACAGGAUUAGAUACCCUGGUAGUCCAUACCAUAAACGAUGUAUGCUAGUUAUUAGGGAUUUCAUCCUUGGUGACGCAGCUAACGCAUUAAGC
rnacentral:rRNA from 1 species